rnacentral:rRNA from 1 species
AACGAACGCUGGCGGCAGGCCUAACACAUGCAAGUCGAACGCACCGCAAGGUGAGUGGCGCACGGGUGAGUAACACGUGGGAAUGUACCCUUUGGUUCGGAAUAACGUUUGGAAACGAACGCUAAUACCGGAUGAGCCCUGUGGGGGAAGAUUUAUCGCCAAAGGAGCAGCCCGCGUCUGAUUAGCUAGUUGGUGGGGUAAAGGCCUACCAAGGCGACGAUCAGUAGCUGGUCUGAGAGGAUGAUCAGCCACACUGGGACUGAGACACGGCCCAGACUCCUACGGGAGGCAGCAGUGGGGAAUAUUGGACAAUGGGCGGAAGCCUGAUCCAGCAAUGCCGCGUGAGUGAAGAAGGCCUCGGGUUGUAAGCUCUUUUGUUCAGGGAAGAAAAGGUACGUGGCGUAAUAUCCACGACUGCUGACGGUACCUGAAGAAUAAGCACCGGCUAACUACGUGCCAGCAGCCGCG